rnacentral:siRNA from 1 species
CAAUCAUACACAGUAAAACUUCGA